rnacentral:rRNA from 1 species
UGGUGGGUAGUUUGACUGGGGCGGUCUCCUCCUAAAGAGUAACGGAGGAGCACGAAGGUUGGCUAAUCCUGGUCGGACAUCAGGAGGUUAGUGCAAUGGCAUAAGCCAGCUUGACUGCGAGCGUGACGGCGCGAGCAGGUGCGAAAGCAGGUCAUAGUGAUCCGGUGGUUCUGAAUGGAAGGGCCAUCGCUCAACGGAUAAAAGGUACUCCGGGGAUAACAGGCUGAUACCGCCCAAGAGUUCAUAUCGACGGCGGUGUUUGGCACCUCGAUGUCGGCUCAUCACAUCCUGGGGCUGAAGUAGGUCCCAAGGGUAUGGCUGUUCGCCAUUUAAAGUGGUACGCGAGCUGGGUUUAGAACGUCGUGAG